UACGAAGGGGGCGAGCGUUGUUCGGAUUUACUGGGCGUAAAGGGCGCGUAGGCGGCCAACUAAGUCAGACGUGAAAUCCCUCGGCUCAACCGGGGAACUGCGUCUGAUACUGGAUGGCUUGAAUUCGGGAGAGGGAUGCGGAAUUCCAGGUGUAGCGGUGAAAUGCGUAGAUAUCUGGAGGAACACCGGUGGCGAAGGCGGCGUCCUGGACCAACACUGACACUGAUGAGCGAAAGCCAGGGGAGCAAACGGG
rnacentral:rRNA from 1 species